rnacentral:rRNA from 1 species
GACGAACGCUGGCGGCGUGCCUAAUACAUGCAAGUCGAACGCAGUGGGGACGGGUGAGUAACACGUGGGUAACCUCCCAUCAGAGGGGAUAACACUUGGCACCAGGUGCUAAACCGAUACUGAUGGAUGGACCCGCGGGCGAUUAGCUAGUUGGUGAGGUAACGGCUCACCAAGGCCACGAGGCAGAGACUGCAUGAGAGGGUGAUCGGACACACUGGGACUGAGACACGGCCCAGACUCCUACGGUAGGCAGCAGUAGGGAAUCUUCGGCAAUGGACGAAAGUCUGACCGAGCAACGCCGCGUGAGUGAAGAAGGUUUUAGGAUCGUAAAACUCUGUUGUUAGAGAAGCGGUAUCUAACCAGAAAGCCACGGCUAACUACGUGCCAGCAGCCGCGGUAAUAC